rnacentral:rRNA from 1 species
UCCGUAGGUGAACCUGCGGAGGGAUCAUUACCGAGUUUACAACUCCCAAACCCCUGUGAACAUACCACUUGUUGCCUCGGCGGAUCAGCCCGCUCCCGGUAAAACGGGACGGCCCGCCAGAGGACCCCUAAACUCUGUUUCUAUAUGUAACUUCUGAGUAAAACCAUAGAUAAAUCAAAACUUUCAACAACGGAUCUCUUGGUUCUGGCAUCGAUGAAGAACGCAGCAAAAUGCGAUAAGUAAUGUGAAUUGCAGAAUUCAGUGAAUCAUCGAAUCUUUGAACGCACAUUGCGCCCGCCAGUAUUCUGGCGGGCAUGCCUGUUCGAGCGUCAUUUCAACCCUCAAGCACAGCUUGGUGUUGGGACUCGCGUUAAUUCGCGUUCCUCAAAUUGAUUGGCGGUCACGUCGAGCUUCCAUAGCGUAGUAGUAAAACCCUCGUUACUGGUAAUCGUCGCGGCCACGCCGUUAAACCCCAACUUCUGAAUGUUGACCUCGGAUCAGGUAGGAAUACCCGCUGAACUUAAGCAUAUCAAUAAGCGGAGGA